CCUACGGGUUGCAAACGUCUUUGAUAAAGGAAGAAAGUGAGGCACGUGGGCCGGGUGGUAGGGAAUGUAUGAAGAAGGAUCGGAUAACUCCGUGCCAGAAGCCGCGGUAAUACGGAGGAUCCGAGCGGUAUCCGGAUUUAUGGGGUUUAAAGGGAGCGUAGAUGGGUUGUUAAGGCAGUGGGGAAAGUUUGCGGCUCAACCGUAAAAUUGCAAUUGAUACUGGCAGUCUUGAGUACAGUUGAGGUAGGCGGAAUUCGUGGUGUAGCGGUGAACUGCUUAGAGAUCACGAAGAACUCCGAUGGCGACGGCAGCUUACUAAACUGCCACUGCCAUUGCUGCUCGACCGUGUGUGUCUCACAC
rnacentral:rRNA from 1 species